AUUGAACGCUAGCGGGAUGCUUUACACAUGCAAGUCGAACGGAGUGGCGGACGGGUGAGUAAUAUAUCGGAACGUGCCCAGUAGCGGGGGAUAACUACUAGAAAGAGUGGCUAAUACCGCAUACUAUAGGAGCGGCCCAUAUAGGAUUAGCUAGUUGGUGGGGUAAAGGCUCACCAAGGCAACGAUCCGUAGCUGGUUUGAGAGGAGGACCAGCCACACUGGGACGGAGACACGGCCCAGACUCCUACGGGAGGCAGCAGUGGGGAAUUUUGGGCAAUGGGGGAAACCCUGAUGCAGCCAUCCCGCGUGUAUGAAGAAGGCCGUCGGGUUGUAAAGUACUUUUGGCAGAGAAGCGUUAGCUGCAGAAUAAGCACCGGCUAACUACGUGCCAGCAGCCGCGGUAAUUC
rnacentral:rRNA from 1 species